rnacentral:rRNA from 1 species
AGCGGGAAAGUAGCUUGCUACUUUUGCCGGCGAGUGGCGAACGGGUGAGUAAUGUAUCGGAACGUGCCCAGUAGCGGGGGAUAACUACGCGAAAGCGUGGCUAAUACCGCAUACGCCCUACGGGGGAAAGGGGGGGAUCUUAGGACCUCUCACUAUUGGAGCGGCCGAUAUCGGAUUAGCUAGUUGGUGGGGUAAAGGCCUACCAAGGCGACGAUCCGUAGCUGGUUUGAGAGGACGACCAGCCACACUGGGACUGAGACACGGCCCAGACUCCUACGGGAGGCAGCAGUGGGGAAUUUUGGACAAUGGGGGAAACCCUGAUCCAGCCAUCCCGCGUGUGCGAUGAAGGCCUUCGGGUUGUAAAGCACUUUUGUCAGGGAAGAAAAGGUUUCGGAUAAUACCCGGAACUGAUGACGGUACCUGAAGAAUACGCACCGGACUAACUACCUGCCUGCAGCCCGGAGGUACGGGCGGGCGGGUUUCGGAAUUACUGGGCGUAAAGCGUGCGCAGGCGGUUCGGAAAGAAAGAUGUGAAAUCCCAGGGCUCAACCUUGGAACUGCAUUUUUAACUCCCGAAACUAGAGUAUGUCAGAGGGGGGUGGAAUUCCACGUGUAGCAGUGAAAUGCGUAGAUAUGUGGAGGAACACCGAUGGCGAAGGCAGCCCCGAGCGAUAAUACUGACCGCUCAUGGACGAAAGCGUGGGGAGCAAAACACGAUUAGAUACCCUGGUAGUCCACGCCCUAAACGAUGUCAACUAGCUGUUGGGCCCUUCGGGGCUUAGUAGCGCAGCUAACGCGUGAAGUUGACCGCCUGGGGAGUACGGUCGCAAGAUUAAAACUCAAAGGAAUUGACGGGGACCCGCACAAGCGGUGGAUGAUGUGGAUUAAUUCGAUGCAACGCGAAAAACCUUACCUACCCUUGACAUGUCUGGAAUCCUGAAGAGAUUUAGGAGUGCUCGCAAGAGAACCGGAACACAGGUGCUGCAUGGCUGUCGUCAGCUCGUGUCGUGAGAUGUUGGGUUAAGUCCCGCAACGAGCGCAACCCUUGUCAUUAGUUGCUACAUUUAGUUGAGCACUCUAAUGAGACUGCCGGUGACAAACCGGAGGAAGGUGGGGAUGACGUCAAGUCCUCAUGGCCCUUAUGGGUAGGGCUUCACACGUCAUACAAUGGUCGGGACAGAGGGUUGCCAAACCGCAAGGUGGAGCUAAUCUCAUAAACCCGAUCGUAGUCCGGAUUGCAGGCUGCAACUCGCCUGCAUGAAGUCGGAAUCGCUAGUAAUCGCGGAUCAGCAUGUCGCGGUGAAUACGUUCCCGGGUCUUGUACACACCGCCCGUCACACCAUGGGAGUGGGUUUUACCAGAAGUAGUUAGCCUAACCGCAAGGGGGG